UACAGAGGAGGCAAGCGUUAUUCGGAAUCAUUGGGCUUAAAGCGCGUGUAGGCGGCUUGGUAAGCGUCCCGUGAAAUCUCACUGCUCAACGGUGAAACUGCGGGGCGAACUGCCUGGCUUGAGGUUGGUAGAGGUGCUUGGAACUCUAGGUGGAGCGGUGAAAUGCGUAGAUAUCUAGAGGAACACCAGAGGCGAAAGCGGGGCACUGGGCCAAUACUGACGCUGAGACGCGAAAGCGUGGGGAGCAAACAGG
rnacentral:rRNA from 1 species